UGUGCGCCACCUGGCCUCACUUGAGUGUGAAACAGGAGCCCGCCCAACUAUUAAUAGUAUUUGUUCUUUACAAUUGUGCAAGGACAUUUUCAAGGGGGAGUUGAAUUUAGAGUUGAUUGUUGGCUUGUCUUGUCUUCUCCUCACUCCGUCUACGGACGUUUGUGGUGACUCCAGAAGUGUCCAGGAGAAGCAAACACGGCAAAGGGAACUCACUUUCUACCAAGAGCUGAUAUGAUACUUGUGGCUGUCACAACUGCUGUGUUUGAUUGACCACUUUGGAAAGUCAACUUGCUUUCUGCAUGACAAGUAUUCCACUACGGAUCUAAAGGAUCCUGGAGCGCCCUCUGCUGAUUGGCUUUUGCAACAUCAACAUCACGUUCAGAAGAUUGAAAGGUCAGUGACUGCAGAGCCUCGUCCGCCACUCUUCCAGCGAUAAUAAACCUGAAGAAGUGCAGUUUCUUUGUGAAAUGGAGGAUCAUUGACUUAGAGGAGAUGGUGUAUGAAGAGGGACAACUCUGAGGCAGCUCAUUCUUCCUGUCGGCAGACUGAGCAUUGAAAAUAGGAGUCCACAUCAGCUUGCUAACUAAACGUAGGCUGAAUACUCUCUUGUUCAGGCACUCUGAAGACGGUUGGGAGAAACUCCAGACCAUCCCAAAGUUCUUGCGUGGCUGUCUGUGAGUUUCACUCUUCAUCCAACCCUUUCUGUAACGGAAAGUAUCAGGACAGAAGACAAACUGCAGCUUGUCAACCAGAUCCUGGAGACGCACCACGUUCUUGCGGUCCUCCUCAGUCUGGAAUUUCAAAUAGUAGUUAAAAAAAAGAAGAAAACAACAGUCCAGUGCAAGACAAAAGUAAAGAUAGGAAAAGACAAAGCAAGAUCAACAACCAUAAAGAGCCUAAAUGGAUUCAUCUGCUUUGGAACUUUAUUAGACAUCUUGGAUUGUUUGUUAGCUGUCUGCCUGUGUGUGUAGUUAGUAUGUUCCAAUAGCAGCAGAAGUGCACUUUUUGGAGAGCUGUAUUAUUUUCAGUUUUGUGCCCAAGGGACUGAUUUUAUUUAACACUAUAUUAUUAUUUAUACACUUAUAGUGAUCACAGAGACAGCUUGUUUUUGUGUUACUGUAUAUAUUUGUUUUCCUGAAAAAUCCCACUUAAUAUACUUUGGGUAACAACAGUCAAUUUUUUUUAUUUUUUUUUAGGGGGGUAACAGUCAAUUUUUAUU